GCCAGACUCCUACGGGAGGCAGCAGUGGGGGAUAUUGCACAAUGGGGGAAACCCUGAUGCAGCGACGCCGCGUGGGUGAAGAAGCGCCUCGGCGCGUAAAGCCCUGUCAGCAGGGAAGAAAAUGACGGUACCUGAAGAAGAAGCCCCGGCUAACUACGUGCCAGCAGCCGCGGUAAUACGUAGGGGGCAAGCGUUAUCCGGAUUUACUGGGUGUAAAGGGAGCGUAGACGGCCAUGCAAGCCUGGAGUGAAAGCCCGGGGCCCAACCCCGGGACUGCUCUGGGAACUGUGCGGCUGGGGUGCGGGAGGGGCAGGCGGAAUUCCUGGUGUAGCGGUGAAAUGCGUAGAUAUCAGGAGGAACACCGGCGGCGAAGGCGGCCUGCUGGACCGCGACUGACGUUGAGGCUCGAAAGCGUGGGGAGCAAACAGGAUUAGAUACCCCCGUA
rnacentral:rRNA from 1 species